GAUGGUCCCGGGGUGCAGUUGAUGGUGAAGAGGCACACACCACUUAGUGAAUGAGUGGAAGCCUUUGGUGAAAGGCAGAGUUUGUCCAUGACACAGAUCAGAUUCCACUUUGACUGGGGCCAAUCAGUGAAACAGACACAUCUGCAGAACUGGAAACAGAGGACAAAGAUUCAGUUGAUGUGUUCCAGAAGCAGACUGGAGUGUCUACUGA
rnacentral:lncRNA from 1 species